ACCCCCACUAUCUGCUCCUCCCCCGACCUCACCACCACUUCCACAAUCUCCUCCUCCAAGUAAAGUGACAUCGCCACCUCCAAGUAACGCGACAUCCCCUCCUCCAAGUAACGCGACUUCACCACCUCCAAGUAACGUGACAUCCCCUCCUCCAAGUAACGUGACAUUUCCUCCUCCAAUGGCUUCCCCGCCCACAGCAUCCACUCCUCUAACCAAUGAUCCACCUCCAGCUGUUAGCCCUCCACCUAGCUCGCCUUCCAGUUCACCGCCACCUCAAUCUUCUCCUCCGCCUUCCAGUUCACCACCACCUCAAUCUUCUCCUCCCCCCGAUAGUUCUCCUCCACCUACCCCACCAGUUAGUUCGUCACCACCUCCAAAAGUAGAGACUCCAUCUGUCUCACCUCCCCCACAACCAACUCCUCCUACAAGUUCAUCUCCACCACCUCCAAAAGUUGAUCCUCCUCCUACCUCACCUCCACCACAAGGAACCACUCCUCCAAGUUCACCUUCACCACCUCCGAAAGAUGAUCCUCCACCUGAUUCACCUCCACCACCUGCACAGAAUCCGGAUCCUUCUCCAC
rnacentral:lncRNA from 1 species